rnacentral:rRNA from 1 species
GACGAACGCUGGCGGCAGGCCUAACACAUGCAAGUCGAACGAGUGGCGGACGGGUGAGUAAUGUCUGGGAAACUGCCCGAUGGAGGGGGAUAACUACUGGAAACGAUAGCUAAUACCGCAUACCAUCGGAUGUGCCCAGAUGGGAUUAGCUAGGAGGUGGGGUAACGGCUCACCUGGGCGACGAUCCCUAGCUGGUCUGAGAGGAUGACCAGCAACACGGGACUGGAGACACGGUCCAGAUUCCGACGGGGGGCAGAGGUGGGGAAUAUUGCACAAGGGGCGAAAGCCUGAUGCAGCCAGGCCGCGUGUAUGAAGAAGGCCUUCGGGUUGUAAAGUACUUUCAGCGAGGAGGCGUUACUCGCAGAAGAAGCACCGGCUAACUCCGUGCCAGCAGCCGCGGUAAUA